rnacentral:lncRNA from 1 species
GGUGCGUGGUGAAGCACUGGAGUCCCCUGCUGGCCACCUCCAAGGCCCAGCAGCUGCUGUUCAACGUUGUCAACGGGCAAGCACCUCCCUAACUCUCUGUCUGGGCUGGACAAGGCCUUGAGGGACUCCUCUACCUGCAGGUGGGACGCAUGAACAGACACACGCACACACACACUCCCUAUACCUAAACAUUAUGUUACUUACUACCCCAGUUUGGAUACUUUCAGGGGGGAAAAGUAUUGUUUGGAUACUUCAGAAAGUACUAGCAGGGUUAGAGGGGAGGACAGAAAAAUCCAGAAGUAUUUCCCAUGAGCAUUAAUAAUACUAUACUGACCUCUCUCACUGUGCCUCUGUCUCUCCUUUCUUCCCCUCCAGGCUCUGUGUAUAGCAGCCAGUAUGUCUGUCUCAGGGAGCCUACCUAAAGAAGCAGCUCCGUGAUGUCAUCUCCAAGUACCUUGACCAUUUCCUGCCUGCCACUCCAUCGGUUGGGGCCAUAGCCAAUCACCCGGUGCUGCUGGCGGCCUGCGAGGCCACGCCCGCCCCACGUGGGGCAGCACUGAGGAGGAGCGUCCUGCAGGUGAUCAGGUAGGAUUCUGACGCUCUGGGUAGAGAUUGCUCUUAGGCACAGAUCCAGGAUGAGUAAACCCUGCCCAAAUCCUCACCUUAAUAAUUAGGUAAGGGAAUGCGAAGCCAAACUGACCUUGGAGCAGUGUCUCAGGACAACUUCAUCCUAAUCCACCUUGACAGCCUCCUAAGAGCAUCUAUUAAAUGGCCAGACAUUACUGGCUCUGUGUCAUACCUCAUCUGUAUCUGUCUCCAUAGUGAGAACUUCCUGCAUUUCAAAGGCAACGCCCCUCCUCCCCGCCUGGUCACGGUCCUGGCCUUCCUAUUGGAGCUGCUGAGACAGAACAAUGACUGUGACCCCGCCCUGCUCACCAUGCCCCUUCCCCUCUCUGCUCCGCUGCCUGAAGCUGGUCAACGAGCUUCACGUGAGGAGGACCAGUACAGAGGCCCUGCAGCUGGUGGUGGAGAGACGUUCAGCCGCCGCCGGGGAUGCGCCAUGUGACCAACUGCUAUAACCUUUACUCUUCCUCUCUCUGCAUUCAGCACUUGGGUCGUGUCAAUUAUUGUACACCGUAGCAAAAUGUUUUCAAAUGUUGGACAUAACCUAAUCUAUGGGUCAUAAAACCAUAAAGCCAGUGUGUGACAUGCCAGAUAUCAAACCACAUCACUAAUAAAAACACACAACCCCAAAUACAGACAGACAGACCCCUCCCUUUUUCCACAUUUUAGAAUAUGCCUUAUUCUAAAAUGUAUUAAAUAUAUUUUUUUUCCCUCAUCAAUCUACAAUCUUACCCCAUAAUGACAAAGCAAAAACAGGUUUUUAGAAAUGGUUUCAAAUGUAUUCAAAAAAACAAAAACAGAUACCUUAUUUACUCCUGAGUGGCGCAGCGGUCUAAGGCACUGCAUCUCAGUGUCAUUACAGACACCCUGGUUCGAUUCCAGGCUGUAGCACAACCAGCCGUGAUUGGGAGUCCCAUAGGGCGUCCGGGUUUGGCCAGUGUAGGCCGCCAUUGUAAAUAAUAAUUUGUUCUUAACUGAAUUACCUAGUUAAAUAAAAGGUGAAAUAAAAAAGUAUUCAGACCCUUUGCUAUGAGACUCAAAGUUACGGUGUGGGUCAUGUUUCCGUUGAUCAUCCUUGAGAUGUUUCUACAACUUGAUUGGAGUCCACCUGUGGUAAAUUCAAUUGAUUGGACAUGAUUUGGAGAAGCACACAAGUUUGAAACCAACAAGACUCUUCCUAGAGCUGGCUGGCCAAACUGAGCAAAAGGGAGAGAAGGGCCUUGGUCAGGGAGGUGGCCAAGAACCCGAUGGUCACUUUGACAGAGUUCCUUUGUGGAGAUGGGAGAACCUUCCAAAAGGACAACCAUCUCUGCAGCACUCCACCAAUCAGGUCUUUAUGGUAAAGUGGCCAGACGGAGGGCACCCAAAGGACUCUCAGACCAUGAGAAACAAGAUUCUCUAGUCUGAUGAAAACAAAAUUGAACUGAAUGCCAAGCAUCACAUCUGGAGGACACCUGGCAGCAUCCUUACGGUAAUGCGUGGUGGCAGCAUCAUGCUGUGGCAAUGUUUUUCAGCAGCAGGAACUGGGAGACUAGUCAGGAUCGAGGGAAAGAUGAACGGAGCAAAGUACAGUGAGAUCAUUGAUGAAAACCUGCUCCAGAGCGCUCAGGACCUCAGACGGGGGCGAUUGUUCACCUUCCAACAGGACAACGACCCUAAGCACAGAGCCAAGACAACACAGGAGUGGCUUUGGGACAAGUCUCGGAAUGUCCUUGAGUGGUCCAGCCAGAGCCGGACUUCCAAUCCAAUCUCUGGAGAGACCUGAAAAUAGUUGUGCAGCGACGCUCCCCGUCCAACCUGACAGAGCUUGAGAGGAUCUGAUGAGAAGAAUGGGAGAAACUCCCCAAGUACAGGUGUGCCAAGCUUGUAGCGUCAUACCUGUGACGACCCUCCCACUCUGUCUGCCGUAUUCUCUCUUUGUUCUUGUUUCCUUAUUAGGAUGCCGGUGGGCGGAGUUGGGGAGGGUCGUCAGCUACAUGGGAAACACGUGGGCCAGGUGUGUCCCAGGAUAAAUAGACCUCUUCCACAUUCAUGGAAGAGACUCUCUCCAUGCAGACACCUUUGUAGAUUGUGUUGUGGUUCUUGGUGGCCGUUUGUUUGCUUUGGCACCUUUCAACACUCUGCAUUAUCACAUUCAUGCUUGCAAAACACUCACUUACACUACUGAUUACUGAUUACACACACACCAUUGUAUAUUUUCCUUAGUUGCUUUAGUUAAUAAAUAUACCUUUUUGUUACUCCUUAUCUCCACGUUGUCUCCCUUUGUUAUGGGCUUUGAGCUGGUUCGUGACAUACCCAACAAGACUCGAGGCUGUAAUAGCUGGGAUGGAGGGAGAGUUUUGUCAUUAUGGGGUAUUGUGUGUAGAUAGAUUUUAAAAUAAGAAUAACAAUUUUUUGGGGGGCAAAAUCAAGGGGUCUGAAUACUUUGAAUGCACUGUGUGUGCGUGUGUGUGUGUAUAUAUAUAUAUAUAUAUAUAUAUAUAUAUAGUGAAUACUGAUGCAGUGUUCAGUGACACAGUCCACUCUCUGUAUGAAAUAUACUGGAUCUUGUGCUGUGACACCUUUGGGAGUCAUUUUGUGACCCCUCUCUUACUCACUCACUCACUCUCUGCAUGUGUGACAGGAAUUUGCUGACCCUGCUGGGGGACUGUGAUCAGGCGGAGAUCAUCAGCCUGGAGGAGGACUGACCCUUGACCCCAGGACCAGGUUACCAUGCUGUUGACCUCAACACCACUGGGCUUGAAAUUCAUGUACAUAAUGUAUAGAAAUGGUCCUGUUGGAGUUACAGAUCAUAAUUUAUGAUCAAGUUUCCAUCUUCACAUGUACAUAAUGUAUAGAAAUGGUCCUGUUGGAGUUACAGAUCAUAAUUUAUGAUCAAGUUUCCAUCUUCACAUGUACAUAAUGUAUAGAAAUGGUCCUGUUGGAGUUACAGAUCAUAAUUUAUGAUCAAGUUUCCAUCUUCACAUGUACAUAAUGUAUAGAAAUGGUCCUGUUGGAGUUACAGAUCAUAAUUUAUGAUCAAGUUUCCAUCUUCACAUGUACAUAAUGUAUAGAAAUGGUCCUGUUGGAGUUACAGAUCAUAAUUUAUGAUCAAGUUUCCAUCUUCACAUGUACAUAAUGUAUAGAAAUGGUCCUGUUGGAGUUACAGAUCAUAAUUUAUGAUCAAGUUUCCAUCUUCACAUUGAAAUAUUUUUCAAAAAGGUGUUACGAAAAAAAGUGACUAAUAUGAUGAAAAAAAGAGAAUGUGGAAGUGCAUGUGUUGUAUUUCAGUUUCCUAAUUGUACAGGCAUGGAACGAGGGAAGAGUGUGUGACGCAUAUAGAUAAAUGUAUAAUAUUUUGUUUUUCUAACUGUUUCUCUGGUGUGAUAUUAACUACUGAUAGUAGACAAAUAGGAUCUCUGUGUGCUAAUGCACUCUUUUGUUGGCCCAACUUUACAGGCAGAACCGCCUCCUUUCCUGAGACUGUCCCUCAUCAGAUACAACCAAAGAGUCCGAAAGAUUACUUUUGCUCUUUCCAUUCCCUUUUUCCUUUGAAAUCUUCAUGCAAAUCAGGCUUCAUUUCAAUAGUCAUAAUUUCACGUCUGAGGAACUUGAGGUGUCAUUAAAAAAAGGCACACAAAAAAUACUUUCACAUGACCCUCCCCUUUGUAC